GUCUAUGGCCAUGCCACCCUGAACAAGCCUGAUGUCUGAUCUCGGAAGCUAAGCAGGGUUGGGCCUGGUUAGUACUUGGAUGGGAGACCACCUAAGAAGACCAGGUGCUGUAGGCA
rnacentral:rRNA from 1 species